UCCCCAGACUCCUACGGGAGGCAGCAGUGGGGAAUAUUGCACAAUGGGGGGAACCCUGAUGCAGCGACGCCGCGUGGGUGAAGGAGCACCUCGGUGCGUAAAGCCCUAUCGGCAGGGAAGAAAAGCGAACAGGUUCGCCUGGACGGUACCUGACUAAGAAGCCCCGGCUAACUACGUGCCAGCAGCCGCGGUAAUACGUAGGGGGCAAGCGUUAUCCGGAUUUACUGGGUGUAAAGGGAGCGUAGACGGUAGAGCAAGUCUGAAGUGAAAGCCCGCGGCUCAACUGCGGGACUGCUUUGGAAACUGUUCAACUGGAGUGCUGGAGAGGUAAGCGGAAUUCCUAGUGUAGCGGUGAAAUGCGUAGAUAUUAGGAGGAACACCAGUGGCGAAGGCGGCUUACUGGACAGUAACUGACGUUGAGGCUCGAAAGCGUGGGGAGCAAACAGGAUUAGAUACCCUAGUAU
rnacentral:rRNA from 1 species